CUGAUUCUGAAGGAAUGUGCUGGCCUCGAAGGAGGAAUUGUGCACUUCCUCUCAAAGUCUCAUUCACCUGUGCACAUAUGAUGGGCAUCAGAAAGGAAACCAAGACAAUUGGUUCUUGACUUUUGCUCGUUGCAUUUUUCUCACACUUAAACUAUGAUAUUGUAUUUGAAAAUCAAAUGUAA
rnacentral:misc_RNA from 1 species